UCCUGGUUAGCUCAGUUGGUAGAACACUUCUCUAGAAACGGAGAGGUCCCUGGUUCGAUACCAGGAACAAGGG
rnacentral:tRNA from 1 species